AUACGAGGGGUGCAAGCGUUAAUCGGAAUUACUGGGCGUAAAGCGUUCGUAGGCGGUUUGUUAAGCAAGAUGUGAAAGCCCUGGGCUCAACCUGGGAACUGCAUUUUGAACUGGCAAGCUAAAAUACUGUAGAGGGUGGUGGAAUUUCCAGUGUAGCGGUGAAAUGCGUAGAGAUUGGAAGGAACAUCAGUGGCGAAGGCGGCCACCUGGACAGAUAUUGACGCUGAGGAACGAAAGCGUGGGGAGCGAACAGGAUUAGAAACCCUGGUAGUCC
rnacentral:rRNA from 1 species